ACCGUAGGUGAACCUGCGGAGGGAUCAUUACCGAGUUUACAACUCCCAAACCCCUGUGAACAUACCAUUUGUUGCCUCGGCGGAUCAGCCCGCUCCCGGUAAAACGGGACGGCCCGCCAGAGGACCCCUAAACUCUGUUUCUAUAUGUAACUUCUGAGUAAAACCAUAAAUAAAUCAAAACUUUCAACAACGGAUCUCUUGGUCCUGGCAUCGAUGAAGAACGCAGCAAAAUGCGAUAAGUAAUGUGAAUUGCAGAAUUCAGUGAAUCAUUGAAUCUUUGAACGCACAUUGCGCCCGCCAGUAUUCUGGCGGGCAUGCCUGUUCGAGCGUCAUUUCAACCCUCAAGCCCAGCUUGGUGUUGGGACUCGCGAGUCAAAUCGCGUUCCCCAAAUUGAUUGGCGGUCACGUCGAGCUUCCAUAGCGUAGUAGUAAAACCCUCGUUACUGGUAAUCGUCGCGGCCACGCCGUUAAACCCCAACUUCUGAAUGUUGACCUCGGAUCAGGUAGGAAUACCCGCUGAACUUAAGCAUAUCAAUAACGGAGGA
rnacentral:sRNA from 1 species